CCCACCACCUUUUCUUGGGUGAACUGGUUGUUAAUUUCUUGAUUUGUGGAGAAGACUGGGAUGUUCCAGUUAUCUCUGGCUGUUCUUCCAGAGUGCCGGGUGUGGCCCUAUUAGCCUGCAGAACUACAAAGUGGUUCUGGGCGAUGAUGUUCAGCUGGGUCGGAGUAUCUGGUUUUGAAGAAAGCCCCUUCCUUUUAUUAGUUCCUUGUCCUCUUUCUUUUUAUUUUUGGUUUUUUUGAGUCUUUUUCCUCAACCCCCAAUCCCAACCCCCUGUGUCAAUGCCCUCCCUCCCUUCCUUAAGUGCCAGUGGAUGAAUUUUUGGCCUCAGUGGGCUCUGUCUUCCCCCACCAUCAGAGCUUGGAACAACUGUCCAGCUCCCUCUGAGCUUCCCUGAUAUCCCUCAGUCUUUCAAUUGCCUCCAGCAGCUUGACCACCUGUUGCUGGAAGUCCUCCACCAGGGCAUACGUUUUAGAAUUCAGUGACGUAUCCCCCUCGCACUCCCUGAUAAUUCCUGACCUCUUCACUUCCUCUUUUUGCACUGCCAGUAGGUAGCUCAUCCAUCUGUUCAUACCACGGAGAGGUGUCAUCUCCACUGCCCUCCAGCAUCAGUGGCAAGCUCAGGCACUCAUUACAGCUGGAGAUCUGGACAACUGCAUGCUGAUGUGUGAGGUCCAUCUGGAUCACCACGUUCUGACAGUGGCUUUUAACUGAGUGGAAACCACAGCUAAUCCCCUUCUAGUUGGUUGGGUGAUGACUCACUCCUAAAUUCUCCUCAGGUACAGCCUGGGAGGUCAUGGCCCACCCUUGUGAACUGCUGUGCAAACUGCCCUGUCACAUCCUGGCUGAGGUGCCACACCGUGUUCAUGCACUCCCUGGAGAGUUUAAAUCUCCCACAUGCUCCUGGCAACUCCCCCUCCAUGUCCGAUUGGGUCCCUAGAGCUUCCAGACCUGCAUGGGGCUGGGAGCUGCUGAUGGGUGUCCCUGAGCCAGGAACCCCCCUGUACAGCGUGAUCCCACAGUCACCUCCGGGCUUGCCUCAGUCACUGCUGCCGCCACUGCUGCCCUCACUGACUGACGGUAAGUUCUCUGCAGAUAUUAACCUGGAAAGAAUGAAAUAUCAAAAAGACUGUAUUUUGGUAAUCCCACAUUCUUUUUUUCAGCAUCCUUGAGUAGCAGGCAUGGGAGUACUUUGUUCUUACAACUUUUAUUAUUUGAGGUUAUCACAUUCGACUUUCAAGGAGAUGCUGCAUAUCCCAUUUAGGUAACCAUUUAAAACUAAAAUAUUCGGGAGUACCAGUUCAAUGGAGAAGAUGACAUGCUAAUGAAAGGGCACUAGUAAUUCAGCCAGCAGAUGAAUGGGCUGGAAAUAUCACACCUAGGUCAGUUAAGAGUAAGAUGUCCCUUUGCUUUUUUCAACCUGAAUCAAAGCUUCUAAGCAAGUAUUGUAUGGUGAGUACAGGGGUCAGUGAGGAAGGCAUCAAGUCUUUUCAACGGAGAAAAAUGAUGUUAUAAAGCUUAAGCUCCUUCAAAGGCUCCCAGGUAAGAAAAAAUAUAUUCUCCUAAAGGUAGAACAGAAAGAAAACCCAGACAACCUCCCUCUCAUUAUUCAUCACAAUUAAAUAGUCAGAGAGAUACACAUUCUUGACUGGCUACAGCAUAUUUUCUGGUUUGUUUUGGUUUUGGAAGAGCUAGUUAAUCAGAGCUCUUUCCAGUUUCAAAGGAUUAGACUCCCACUGGCCAUGUGAAUCCAUGAUGGAAUAUGAUUUAAACAGUUAGAGAUAAUAUUGAUUAUUUUAGCUAAUGUGAGAAUAUGAUGUCUUAUAUCUAAAUUUCCUUGGUCUAAAAACGGACAGGACUCUUCUUAAUAUAACUUCCAUAUGCUGUGAGAGAAAGUGCUUGGGUUUUAGGGUAAUGGAAGAAAAAAUAUUAAAAUAAUGUCAUUAGAUUUUUUGGGCAAGGGGAGUGGUGCUUGCUAGUCAUAUUGUUAUAGAGACCAGAUAGUGGGUCAGACCACCACACCUUUUCUUACAUUCUGUUGUUGCACCAAAAUCAUUCACCUUCAGUAUCUCAGAGAUGCUCCUGCAUCUAUAUCACCUUCCAGAUGUGUCUGAUAUUCACAGAUGGUGGAGGUCUCAUAAACUGGAAAUACCUUCCCCCCCAUUGUUCUGGCUACAUGCUACUUAAAAAAAAAAGUAAUUAUGGAGAGGAAAGGCCAUUCUUUUCUGCACCUUCUCCUGCUACUGGGAACACAAUAAUAGUCUGUAGCUGUGCUAGCUGGAGAUGGGAAAAAAUAAUAAAUCUAACUAAAUGUCUUUUUCUGUCCACUGAUCUCAACAGCUGCUCGUGGAAAGGAUGAGACAGAGUUCAGGUGUUUGGCCACCACUAGCAUCUCUGAUAGGUUCAUGUCAAUUCAAAUUCAAGACUAACUUUCUCAGAAAAAUUUUUCAUUCCAGUUUUCCUACCAAAAUCUCUGUGUUUAUGAAGUCAUUUUCCAUGAAAAAUAUUAUACUUCAUUAUAUUUGAAAUUUGGAAGAUAUUCUUUCAAAUGGCGUUGUUUUUCAAAGUGGCAUUUCUUUUCUGUAGCAUCUCCUGGGUACAGGAAUGGUCCUCUCCUCUCUCCACAGCUCUGGAGAUUUUCAAACAGUCAGGUUCUGGCUCUUAUUUGCUCCAGUAUCUUAUUUUCCGUUAAAGUCUUUCUGAAGCUACGAAAUGAAAUAGUACAGGUUCUUUAUUCUCUUUUUACACAGUAGCUGUUACAGUUCUCCAGUCUUCUGUUUCUAGACUGUUACUAGGACUCUUUUAUCCACUUCACAGAGACCCAGCCCACUUGCUGUGUGUAGUACAAUAAGUGACAGUGUUAUAUUUAAAACAUAAUACAAAUAUUAAAUUAUUAAAUUAUGAAGAUCAUAAUUGCAGUAUGUCAGUGAGAUUAAACUGUGCACAUUCUUCACAAUAAAAUUGAAUAUUUUUACCUCACAGGCUUUUCAUAAUCAGCAUAUUCAAAUAGAAUCUCUGCACUAGCUAAUCUUUAAAAAUCAAAUUUUGUGUGUGUUAUAUUUAAAACCCACAAGUGAAGUGUCUCUGAAAGAUAAUCUCUCUGUUAUUUUCCAGCUUUAAAUUUGAAGGUGAAGAACUUUGCUGUUUCUAUUCUUAUUUAUGCUGCGACUUCAAGUGGGAACUGCUUCAAAUGGGAGUCUCAUAAAAGAAUAAGAAGCUUCUAUUUUUUAGAGAAGAGAGUGGGGUUUUUUUUUUUCCCCUUUGCAGCUCUGGAAAAGGGCUAUCAGAGCCUGAAAGAACAUUUACAGAAGUCAUUCUUAAGUGUCUGUCUAUCUCUUAAGAUAAAAACCCCACAGAUACUGAACUUGCCUCCAGUUGCUACACAGCAUACAACAAAUAGCUGUUUAUUUGAGAUAGGCCCAAAUACUGUUUAUUGGGUGCUCAGGUGCUGUCUAUUGGCUUCAGUGUAUGUAGAGAAUGAGCCAGCUAGUCAUGCAGCUAUUGACUUUAAUUUAGCUAACCUAUAUAAACCAGCAGGCUGAUCUGUACCUGUGUUCAGUGGAAAAGUUGGUUUAAAUGAUCCCUGGUGCUGCAAGCUCAGCAUAUCUUCAUGAAAAUUUUCAGUCUUAAUUGAAUUUGUAUAAAUGAACAUAUAUGUAUGUGUCUGUGUGUGUUAAUUUGCCUUUAGAGAGUAAUAUGAUUUUAUGAUUUAAUAAUUUCUUUAUUAUACAAUUUCCUGUGUAAUUUUAACUUCUCAAACUAAGAAUUAUUAUUUUCCUAUAAUUUUGGCAUUAUUUUGUCCAUUAAAGACAACUCUUCAUUACAGAGUUCUUUGGAGUAAUUUCCUCUGAAAAAAAGUGCUUUGUAAAUAAUGGACUUUUUGGCUUAGUGCCUAACCAAUAUCUUCUGUUGUUGUUUUUUUUUGGCAAUUAAAAUAUUUUUAUAGUUGAAUUGGAAUUAUUCCCAUGAGUGUAAAGGAAAAGGCAUUUCAUAAGUGAAGAUGUUUCCACCAUUAUUACUGUCAUCUAAUUCACCACACGUUAACUCUGCAGCCCUAACAAAAAAAUAUGUCCAGAACUUAAAUUUUAGUCCUUCUGUCAAGGCAAAGAUUUGAGCCUGAUUUGUUAUACCUCUAACAAUAAAUAACUCUCUAAAAUUUUAAUUUUUAUAAAAAGUUUAGCGUUUUGUUGGACUAGAAGGAAAGAGAAUAAUUUAAAAAUCUCAUUGCUGAAAAUUCCUCUCCUUAGGUGACUGAACCCAGUAUUCCAUACCUUCUCCAAUGAACACCUAUUAGGUGUUAAGCAAUGUAUACAUGGCUAUGCACAGCAUGCAAGCUUUCUCCAUAGAAUAUAAGUUUUCAACAUAAAUCCUUUUCUAAAAUGAGUCAAUAAGAGCUUAGAGUCCAAGUCUUCCUUCAGCUGUGUGCCUUCAGCCGCAAGCUGCUUAAGGACCACACAGCUGCGCACUCAGUUAACUCUGUCCCUAGUGGCAUGUGGAGAGAGUCCAGAGGGCAAAAAUGAGACUACUUGUGGGUUGGGGUAAAGCCACUUAAGUAAGAAAAAAAAGAGGAAAACUGCUUUCAGAUGUUGCAAAACCCCAAUCCCUCACCACCAGAAUAUCAGUGCCCAGCCAUUACCCAAGCAAAAGAGACUUUCAAAGAAUUUUCACCCUUCUCCAUUCUUUAUUGCUGAACAUGACUUUGUAGGGCAUGGCAUAGCUCUCUGAUUAAAGCAGUUCAGCUGUCUUGGCUGUGUCCUCUUCCAGCCAGUCUUCUCGCUGAGAGGAUAAAGAGGUAAAUAGAGAUGGUCAUGAUGCUGUGCAAGUACUGUUUAGCAAUAAAUAAAACAUCAGUGAGUAUCAACACAGUUUCACAUGGGAUGCUGUGAAGAAAAUUAACUCCAUGCUAUUAUGAUUUAUACCUUAUUCCAUGCCAUUUGUACUGUGCUCAGGUACUACAUUAUUUAAUCUAUUUUCAUAAGACACCACCAUUCUCUUCCCUACCUUUUGACAUAUUUACAGAUAAUUCCCUUCAUGGAUCACCCCCAUUCAAAUAUCCAUUCAAACAUCCAUUCAGUUAAUUUAGUCCUUGAGUUGGGUUCCACAAGUUUUGAUGGUCAUUCAGGACGGGAGAGAUG